AGGAUUGUACCACUGUGCUGUUGAUUUCUAAGGAGUCAGGAACAUAAAUCUCGAUGGUGAAACAUGACUUUGUGAUCAGAGCGUGAUUAACAACUUGGAUAAUUCUCAAGUUGUGACAUUAUCUUGUGUUGUAGAUGAUCGUUUUGUGUCAGACAUAUGAUAUCUGACAUGGAUGGUCGCACGGUGUUCUUACAAGU